rnacentral:tRNA from 1 species
UGUCAAGGGGAAUCGAACCCACGACCUUCCGCUUACCGGGCAGAUGCCAUGACCACUAGGCUACCCUGGAC